AUUCCAUCCCUCUACGAUAUCCCCACUCCAUAUCAGAUACAUAGUGUAUUUAGUGACCACCGUAUCGCCACCUUACAUUUUACCGCAGUACACACCAUAGUCAUUCCUACGUCAUCACCAUCGUGCGUGCUGCCGCAGUUCAUAUCAUCAUCUCACAAUUUAAAUUGCUAAAACAAUCUAUGAUUGAAAAUGUUAACGUUGUUUUACUAUCAUCCAAUAGUAUACAUAUACAAUAUGAAGAAAAAAAUCUAGCAGCUAGUUGAAAUGUAUCAAGAUGAUUAAGAUUGCAGUGUAUUAACAGCUAUUUUAGCAACUCUUCCAGUUGCAACUGCUAACAGUGAACGAUCUUUUUCAACAUUAAAAAGACUGAAAACAUAUUUACAAAACAACAUAUGUGAAAAUAGGUUGAAUGGUUUGGCAAUGAUGAAUAUACACAGUGAAAUAAUGAUAAACCCUGAUGAUGUCCUAAAUAAAUUAGCGACCAAAACUAGAAAA